GGGAUUGCCCUAGUAACGGCGAGUGAAGCGGCAACAGCUCAAAUUUGAAAUCUGGCGCAAGCCCGAGUUGUAAUUUGUAGAGGAUGCUUCUAGGUAGCGACCGGUCUAAGUUCCUUGGAACAGGACGUCAUAGAGGGUGAGAAUCCCGUAUGUGACUGGCCCGCACCUUCUACGUAGCUCCUUCGACGAGUCGAGUUGUUUGGGAAUGCAGCUCUAAAUGGGAGGUAAAUUUCUUCUAAAGCUAAAUACCGGCCAGAGACCGAUAGCGCACAAGUAGAGUGAUCGAAAGAUGAAAAGCACUUUGGAAAGAGAGUUAAAAAGCACGUGAAAUUGUUGAAAGGGAAGCGCUCACAACCAGACUUCUAGGCAGUGUUCCGCCGGUCUUUUGACCGGUCUACUCUCUGUCUCGAGGCCAACAUCAUCUGGGACCGCCGGAUAAGACCUUAGGAAUGUAGCUCCCCUCGGGGAGUGUUAUAGCCUUUGGUGAUGCGGCGCGUCUCGGGUGAGGUCCGCGCUUCGGCAAGGAUGUUGGCGUAAUGGUUGUCAGCGGCCCGUCUUGAAACACGGACCAAGGAGUCUAACAUCUAUGCGAGUGUUCGGGUGUCAAACCCCUACGCGUAAUGAAAGUGAACGGAGGUGGGAAGCGUAAGCUGCACCAUCGACCGAUCCUGAUGUCCUCGGAUGGAUUUGAGUAAGAGCAUAGCUGUUGGGACCCGAAAGAUGGUGAACUAUGCCUGAAUAGGGUGAAGCCAGAGGAAACUCUGGUGGAGGCUCGCAGCGGUUCUGACGUGCAAAUCGAUCGUCAAAUUUGGGU
rnacentral:rRNA from 1 species